UGACAGAAAGAGGUCCAUGUGGGGGUGUGCCGUGAGUGUGCCAUUUUGAGUAGUGACUGAAGAAGCUUUGGGAAAUGGGUCAAGUUGCAGAAGCUGUCGGAAUGGUAAGUAAGUGGGUCUGGACAUAGUCAUCAGAUUCCUCUGGAGGGACUGCAUUUGAUCCUCCACCUCCACCAUUAACUAUCUGGGAUUCCUUCUUGGUAUUCGAUGAUUUAGCUUAAGUCUCUGCUGCGGUUUUGCUAUGGAUGGGGGACCUGUGGCCCGUGGGCGCUCUCUCUCUCACAUUUGUGUUAGUCUUUUUUUGGGGAAUGGUUACUGAUUAGGGAAGGAGGGGAGAGGCUUUGAUAAUUGAUAGGGAGAGAUGCUUUCUUUUGAGGGCAAUUUUGUCGUUUAAACAACCUCAGAAUGGUCCAAACUUCCACUACUACAGAAUCUUUGCUUGGAUUAUAAGAAACCUCUUCAUCGCAUGUAAAGCCAUUGUUUAGCUGUACUAUCUGACGAAAUUGCCCUUCCAUGAGAGCAUCUUUUCCUGUAUUAUCACUUCUUCUUCUUCUUCUCUUACCAGUAACAUUCCCUACCGCCCAUUACUAUUUUUGUGGUC